rnacentral:rRNA from 1 species
UACGGAGGGAGCUAGCGUUGUUCGGAUAUACUGGGCGUAAAGCGCACGUAGGCGGCGCAGCAAGUCAGGGGUGAAAUCCCGGAGCUCAACUCCGGAACUGCCUUUGAAACUGCAGUGCUAGAAUUCUGGAGAGGCGAGUGGAAUUCCGAGUGUAGAGGUGAAAUUCGUAGAUAUUCGGAAGAACACCAGUGGCGAAGGCGACUUACUGGACACAUAUUGACGCUGAGGUGCGAAAGCGUGGGGAGCAAACAGG